AGCGGUCACAGGAGAGGGGAAACACCCGAACCCAUUCCGAACUCGGAAGUUAAGCCCUCUUACGAUGUUGUUUGUACUGCGCUCUGCGCGGGAAGGCGCAUUGCUGC
rnacentral:rRNA from 1 species